AUAACAAAACAAUUAAAGCACCAAUUGUUCGCCAAAUAACUACGAGUAAAAACUUAAAAUUUAAAAGACUUGACGGUACUUCACACCAACCUAGAGGAGCCUGUCUAUUAACCGAUAAUCCACGAUCGACCCAACCUUUUCUAGCCAACAGUCUAUAUACCGCCGUCGCCAGCUUACCUUGUGAAAGAAACAAAGUAAGCCAAACAGCACCACACUAGCACGACAGGUCGAGGUGUAACUAAUGAAAAGGCCAAGAUGGGCUACACUCCUUAAAUCAAGAAACGGAUAAACUAUGAAACUAGAAAUUGAAGACGGAUUUAGCAGUAAGUUAAGAACAUAAUACCUAACCGAAACAAUGCAAUGAAGUGCGUACACACCGCCCGUCAUCCCUGUUAGACACGACACCCAUCCAUAAACCAACAAACCUUUAAAGCAGGGCA
rnacentral:rRNA from 1 species